GCCCGUAUGGAAAAAUCGAUUUUUCCAUGCGGGCGCUUAAGCCCUCUUAAUAGGUCCGUAUGGGAAAAUUGAUUUUUCCAUACGGGC
rnacentral:pre_miRNA from 14 species